GGUAAAAUGGCUGAGAAUAAGCAUUAGACUGUAAAUCUAAAGACAGAGGUGAAACCUCUUUUUACCA
rnacentral:tRNA from 1 species